UGUUUGCGGUUAAAAGGGUACGGAGUGGAAAAUAAUUCGUCCCAACCCGGAGGUUGACAUUGGAGCAGGAGUCCAACCGAAUCUCCAUCACCCUUUGGAGGGAAGCUGCCAUGGCAGCAGCAAACAUUGGGGAGCUGGUGAUCAUCAGCCAUCUAAAGGCCACUCGCACCGACUAUGGGAUCCAGCUCCAAUCCUCACAGCUCACCAAGAUUGAGAAGCCAAAACUGCAAACUAUAUAUGGAGAAAUUAUUGGGGUGAUGGACUUGGAGUGCAGCGGUUGCAGCGGUUGCAGCGGUGGUGGC